rnacentral:rRNA from 1 species
AGGUGAUAUAUUGAAAAUAGGUAUAUGAAAUUAAUAUUAUUUUAAGGAUAAUGUAUCAAAAUUUUAAAUAUGAUAAAAAGAUAUAUUUUAUAUCAAUCAAAAUCAUGAAAAUGAGAAAAAGAAAAACUAGUGGAAUGAAACAUCUGAGUAACUAGUUAAAUAACCAACAGGGAUAAUAUAAGUAACGGUGAGUGAAAAUAUUAAAAUCUUAAAGUAUUGCCAUGAGGUAAGAAUAAAGUAGUUUCCAACUACUAAGAAUAUAAAGAAAAUUUUAGAUAAAAGUACUGUAAGGGAAAAUUAAGAAAUAGAAUAAUAAAGAGCAGUCAUAGUAUGGCGUACCUCUUGUAUAAUGGGCCAGUGAGUUAUAUAAUUAAGUGAAAAAUAGAUAGUUAUUUUUAUAUAUAAUUAGAUAGAUAAUACUCACCCUUAAGGUGGGUAUCCGGUAAUUUAAUUAUAUAGGCCCGAAAGCAAACGAUCUACACAUGUCCAAGUGUAUAUAUAUCUUAUAAAAAUAUAUAUAUGACUCAAUAGGUAAUUGUAGCAAUAAUUUCUAAAGAGGUGUGUGUAGUUGUGACAGACAAAUCUGGUUUGCAGAUAGCUGGUUUUCUGCGAAAUAUAUUUUAGUAUAGCCUUUAUUAUUUUUUAAACUGGUACAGCACUUAAAUAGCUUUGGGGAAUUAGAAUAUAAUUUUAUCAAAAUAUUUAAACCUCGGAAUCAGUUAAUAAUUUAAAUAAGGAGUCAGACUUAUUGCGAUAAGGUAGUAGGUCGAGAAGGAAACAACCUAGACUAUUAAAUGAAUGUCCCAAAUAUUAAUUAAGUGAACAAAAUCUAUCCUACUUUAAACGAGUUAAUACUCGGGGAAUUAAAUUAUAGACAAUUAGUAAGUGGGUUUGACAAUAAUCAACUUUUAAUGAACAUGUAACAAUGCACUAAUUUUAUAUAUAUAAAAAUUUUUAUAUUUAUUAAUAAUAGAGAAAAUAUACGGGUCUAAAUUAAUAACAGUAUUAUAGAUAUAAUGUCCACCCUUCGGGAGGGAAUCCCUCAGCUAAGCUGGGGGGGAUAAAAGUUAUAUGGUAGCAGAAUAUAUAAUGUAAAAUUAUAAAGAGAUUGCUGGCUUGAGUAACGAUAGAUAAUAUAAGAUUAUCCCCUUAUUCAUAAGGUUUAACUAUAAACGAACGGUCCCUAAGAUUAAUAUAGAAAUAGAAAAUUAAUGGGAAAAAGAACAAGAAAAGAAAAAUGAACCGUACUGUAAACCGACACAGGUAUGAUAAAUAAAGGGAAUGGGAUAACUACUUUGAAUGAACUCGGCAAAAUAAAUCGUGCGACUGUUUACCAAAAACAUAGCUUAUUGCAUACUAGUAAUAGUAAGUAUAAUAAGUGAUAUCUGCCCGGUGUUAGUUCAAUAAAUAAAAUUAUUAAAUAGAUAAAUUUAUAAAAAACUGAUAAACGGCGGUCUUAUUGUGAGGAUCCGAAGGUAGCGGUGCGACAAGAAGUUCGUAUUAAGAAUGUGGUGUAAUUCCACUAACAACAAUCGUAUUUGUUAAAUCUAUCUUAACAUGCAUAAUGAGCAAUUAUUUUGUAUGAAGCUUAAGAGACAAAGGUGAUAAGCUUUAGCUGAUAUAAGUGAACUCAUUCAGAUUAGAACGACAUGAUUAGUAUAUCAAAACAGUGGAUUAAAAUUUCGUUAAAGGAGAAUAACAUGAUCAGUAGGGUUAUUAAAAUGACUAGAAAGAAAAUCAUCGCUGCAGAUUUCUUUAUAUGAUUGAAAAAAAAACAAGGGUCAUCGGAAUAUAGCUGUAAUCUAAAUCGUUCAAUAAAAGUCUUAAUACGGGAACUUGGUAAACCUUUAACAUCCCUAUCCAUGAAAUAGAAUAGGAAGUAACAUAUAAAAUAAUUAAGUAAAUGCCCACCCUUCGGGUGGGUAUCCCAGCCCUGUGGGCGGGAAUUAUAGAAAUUGUUAUACAGUGUUGGAGGCAAAGGAUAAACAGAAAAAGCGAAAGGUUUUACGUAAUAUAAAACAUAUAGAUAAAUAUCUAAUUUCGAAAGAAAGCAGACUUCUGUAUAAGGCUAAUAGAUCUAUAUCGUAAUUUUAUCUAAAUUUAAGCAUUAAAUUAAGUUAUAAACUUAGGUACUUAUUUAUAUAAGAGAUUGAAUAUUACUUCUUAAUUAAUUUUAAUUAAAUUAAGACUUAAUAAAAUGAAACAUUGUUAACAAACAUGUUUUAAAAAUAGAAAUGAAAAUGGUGACAGCAAUAAAUAAUAACUACUUAAAAAAGAGGGUGGUAAUUAUUGGAUGUUGGUAGACAUAUAACAAAUAAGUCUAUUUCUAUAGUUUGAGCCGUGUGCGAUGAAAGUCGCACGCACGGUUCUAGAGGGGGGAAAGUCUGAAAGGACCUACCUAUCCUAACAAAUUCAUUGACGUAUAAUUGACGUCCUGCAUGAAUGAAUAAACGAUGCGAUAACUGUAUCCAAAGUAGACUCAGUGAAAUAGCAAUUGCGGUGAAAUUAGUACUAUUAUAUCUAAAAGAUAUUUUAACGCCGGGUUGGUGAAAAUCCAACUUUAUAGUUAUAUCUUAGAUGAAUAUUAAUAAAUAAGAAUACAAUCGAAUAAUAUUCUACUUUUUUUAUAAAAGGUAAUUUAUAUAUAUAGGCAAUAUGUAUUUUAUAAAUAACUAUAAAUAAAUGGUGAAAACGGUUAAUGACAUCUAAGUUAAAGACCGUCGGCAGUUGUAUAUGUCGCUACAGACUGGUUCACCGAGGUUAGACUGAAAUGUCUGUCUAAAUGUACAGUCGGAUUCUGUAAUAUAAUAUUUAUAUAUGCCUUUAGGGCGGUAAUUAUAUAGAGGUGAAAGAUAUAAACUCAAUAUAAAUUGGGAAUAAGCUUAUUAGUACAUAAGUAAUAAACCUUUGUAGGUCAAACCUACUUAAUUUAAUCAGAUUUGGAAGAUGCCGUAUAUCCGUAGGUUGACAAAAAGACCCUAUGCAGCUUUACUAUAUCUUUAUUUUGAUUUUUUACCUUCGGGUUUACUUUUUUUAUUCAUUUCAGUAGAUUAGGUUAUAUUUAUAUUUUAAAUAAAAUGAGAUACCUAUAUAAAUGAAAAAAGAAUCUAAUUAAUUUAAAACAUAUAUGCCCGCCAAGGUGGGGGUUAUGAUAAUAUUUAAGAAAGAGUAAAGAGGUUAGUUUCGAUGGGGCGUCGACAUCAGCGAAAGCAUCUGAUGUGUCUAAUAAUAAUGAUUUUGAUAUUAAUCAAAACUAAAUAUUUAAUUAAAUUUUUUAUUUAAUAGUAAAAUACGUACAAUAAUUCUAUAUGGUAAAUAGAAUAAAAGAUUAUAAGUAAGGAUAACAACAUAAUUGUGCGAUGAUAAUAACACAAACAAGUGAAAUUAGUACAUAAGUAGAGUGUAGUGAACAGGCAUAAACAAAUGGUAUGGAUGUCGAUAACGAAUUAAAGUUACGCUAGGGAUUAAUUGUUAGUCCCUUAUAUAUAGAAAUAUAUAUAUUAUAACAUAAUUGGGUGAAUUGCAUAAAAGUCUUAAUCAUAUAGAUAUAUAAUGAUAACUUAGAUAGAGAUAUAAAUUAUAAAAUUUAUGAAAAGAUAAUUUGCAGCGAAGUUUAUAUAAGUUAAUUUGUAUAUAUAAAAACGUUCAACGACUAGUAGAUGAGUAAACUAACAAUAAUUCUACCACGAGCGCCCAACAUCUAACAUUUAAAUAAAUAAAUUAUGAUGAUGACAUAGUCUGAACUAUAUAGAAAUAUAUAGAAGUUGAUAUAAAGAGAUCAACGAUAACAUAAUUGAACAGGGUAAUACCGCGUGAGAGUUGAUAUCGUCAGCGGUGUUUGCCACCUCGAUGUCGUCUAGACUCGUCCUCCUGGUCGCAGCAACUAGGUAGGGUAGGACUGUUCGUCCUCUAAGGAGUUACUUGAGAUGGGUUAAUUACGACGUGAGUCAGUAAUGAUUUUAUCAUCUAUGGAUAUUAACUUAUCUGUUGCCUUAAGUGUACGCAAGGAUAAUAAGGUACUUUCCUAUGGUUAAUUUAUUAAAUUUAGCUAAGAAUGUUGUGUUUACAUAUUGAAUGCAUAUCAAAUAUUAAAUCCUUCAGAUAAGUUUUUAACAUUAUAGACUAUAAUGUAUUAGUUAAUUUGUAUAAGAUUGCAAAAAUUAACCCCCAGCAAUCCUGAGGGUGGAAACUAAUUUAUAUAAUUCAUAUACCU